GCGCGGUUAGGCGGGUCACGUUUUGGAGGAUGCAUGACUCCACCUUCGCCUCUCCCGAGCCCUUUGGGGAGUUGGAGCAAUGAGACCUCAAAAAAAAGGGGUUAAAAAUAAUAAUAAUAAUAAUAAUAAUAAUAAAUUGUAUUUAGAAUUGUACAUAAAGUUUCUGAGUUAACAUUCACGUCUCUCUUUGCAGCUUAGAUGAGAAUUCUGGUUGUGGUAAUCUGUGGGACACACACACACACACACACACACACACACACACACACACACACACACACACACACACACACACACACACAGAGAAUGACACACACACACACACACACACACACACACACACACACACACAGAGAAUGACACACACACACACAGAGAAUGACACACACACACACACACAGAGAAUGACACACACACACAGAGAGAAUGACACACACACACACACACACACGGAUGCCACAGAAAGGGGCCAUGUUGUAUGGCUGUGCACUCUAAUUCCCUCUCUAGCAACAGAAUGGUACAGUCCAGUAAUCCUCUCUCUGUUGCCGUGGUAGCGGUGAGAGGGUUUUGGAUGGUAGGUAAUGUUAAGACUCCAGCCGACUCUCCAACCAAAGACUUUCCUAGCUGCUUUGCCCUGCCUUGCCCUGUCUCAUCCUGCUCUGGAUAAUUGGGGGCUGGGGAUAUCUUGACGUUGCCACAGAUCACUGGAAAGGGGUUGCAGCAGAGACCCAAUUCUUGGCGUUAAAUGAGGCGCCUGCCAGGUGUGAGGAGACUCCCAGAGAGGAGGAGGGGCCACGAGUGAUCCCAACUCCGCCGGGGCCCGCCCCCACCCCGAGCCACUCCCACCAGAAGGAGCACACAGAAGAUCAAAGACUACAGUUGCUGGAAUGUGAGCUGAGCAAGAAGAGAAAAGAAUGUGAAAACUUGGAACAUGAAGUUAGGAAGAGACAGAAGGGAUGUCUGGAUUUGGUAAGGGUCCCUCGUCCCAUCAGCUGCCUGUUAACUACUGUACUCAAGGUGCUCCUCUCAGUGGGCCAGGUGCUGGGGAGAAAUUCCUC
rnacentral:lncRNA from 1 species